CUGGUUAUGACAGGCUAUUGAAAAAGCAUUUAAUUAUAUGAUCCAUACAUGCUGGUGUGCUAUGAGCUGAUGGGCAUGCGCCCACUUCUUGCUUAGAUUUUCUCUAAUUUCGACUAAAUCCACACUCCAUCAGAGUACCAUGCCAGGGGGUUUAGACACUGUGUACAAUGAAGAACCAAUUCAAUUCUACUUUAAAUCUGGCCAUUCAAUUUCCCUCAGGGCACAAUAUUUUCGCUGGACACUGUAUAUUUUAACCUGAAUUUCUUCAGUAUUUGCUCCCAUGUAUAUGUUGGGCAUAAUGCUAACACCUCCAUGAUCCUUAGUGGGUUUUUUUUUUCAAUACGCACUCUGUUACACUCGCAAAGUAUAAUGAAAUAUUCCAUUCAUUUGAUUUCUAACAUAUGUAUGUAAUCCCUUACCAAAUAGCACUUCAAAUGUAGGACAUCUCUAUCUUUAAAUAAAUAUGACCAGUACUUUCGUGCGAAACUGUCCCUUACUAUCAUAAAGCUUAUAUUCUGCUUUAAAACACAAAACAAUAAUUCUUAAUUGUAUUUUUUCAUCUUUAAAAAGGUUAUUGACAUCCCGAUAUUUAGUGGGAAGCUUCCAGGUAUCUUCCACUAGUGACAGUCUACUGGCAAAUCCAGACAUGCAUUGGAAGUAUGUUGAUGUGGAGGACACAGGGACACCUGAUCCAAGAACUGUGGCAUUUCAUUCGGAGUGACAACCUGGCAUUCAGUUGAUAUGGGACCUGAUUAUUAAGAGAAUUGCAGAUUUUAUGAAGCUGUUUUUGACAGAAGAUUUGGUUUUCUCCAUCUGUGUUGCCAUCAACCAUUAUGCUGUGAUGGUCAUAUCUAGGGGGAAGGAUUGUCAUAUGCUCCCCGAGGAAGUUCGAAGCCUCUCACUGAAGAGGAACUGUAUAGAUUGUUGGGCAUUAUCUUAUACAUGUCUGCUGAGAAGUUCCAGUCGAUAGACAGAUAUUGGUCAACGCAUGCCCCUAUCGGAGCAACCUAGUAUCAAAAAUUAUGUCUAGAAAUAUGUUUUAAGAGGUUGAAUAUAAGAACAAUUUUUAUUAAAUAUAAUGCAAGUACAUUUAAAUUUAGUGAUUGAAAGUAAGUACUUGAACAUUUGUAUACAUGUACAAUGAACUUGGGGAGGAAAAAUGGGCAUUAUUUUCGCAUAGCAUUUGAUAUCAUAAUGGUGUUGUUGCUUAGCAACCAAAUAUAUUUGAAUAUUAAAAAAAUAGAUAUAAAAAAAAAAAAAAAGAUCAUUUUAGAUUUUAACAGGAAAGAUCUUUGUUUUAAUGUUGCAAUAUUUAUACUAUUUAGUGGGAUACAAUGACAAAACAUCAUAUUAUUAGAAAAUGAUGAAUAUGUAUAUGAAGUAUGAAAUUUCCAUUUUAUGACCUUUGACCUUAAUUCUCUUCAUUAUGUUUUUUGUUAAAAACCUUUUAAAAUGAUUAAGAUCUAGUCAAAGAUUAUAUUUUUAAAAUAAUGUGACAUUUACUAAUCAUCAUGCAGUGUAAUUAUGUUUGAAUUGUGUCGAAUGGAUGUAGAAAGGCAAAUUAUGGUCAAAAUUACACCAGGAGUGUUGUUACUUAGCAACCAAAAAUAUUUGUUUGUCAAUAAAAUUGAUUGUGAUGUUUUUGUAGUAUUUUAAAAGACACAUCAGCUCAUACAUUUAGAAUUUCCUAUUUUUGACUCGAAUCUAGUGGUAGGGGUCGUAAUAUUUAUAUUCCAGAGAAAAAAAAUUGCAAAAAUGUGCACUUAAAUGACCUUUGAACCCGUAGAACUCUUUGGGGUCAUGGGAUAACAUGAAAAACUUUAUGAAAAAAAAGUUCCCUGUCCAAUUCAUAACAAAAUUAUAUGUCGCAUGCCUACCUAAAAUCGUGAUACAUGCAGAUGUAACUCGAUUUAAAAAUAUUGUCAUUUAGUCUUUAAAAACCUCCAAAAUGUGUCGGUAGAGAAAGGGUUAAACUGAUAAAAGUUAUUGUUAAAAAUAAAAUUAUUGUUAGUUUCUAAAUGAAAUUGAAAGUAUAUAAUAAAAAGGUUAUAGACUUUGUAUGGGAA